UACGUAGGGGGCAAGCGUUGUCCGGAUUUAUUGGGCGUAAAGAGCGUGUAGGCGGUUUGGUAGGUCCGCUGUGAAAACUCGAGGCUCAACCUCGAGACGCCGGUGGAAACCAUCAGGCUAGAGUCCGGAAGAGGAGAGUGGAAUUCCUGGUGUAGCGGUGAAAUGCGCAGAUAUCAGGAGGAACACCGAUGGCGAAGGCAGGUCUCUGGGCCAUAACUGACGCUGAGAAGCGAAAGCAUGGGGAGCGAACAGG
rnacentral:rRNA from 1 species